rnacentral:rRNA from 1 species
UGGGGAAUUUUGGACAAUGGGCGAAAGCCUGAUCCAGCAAUGCCGCGUGUGUGAAGAAGGCCUUCGGGUUGUAAAGCACUUUUGUCCGGAAAGAAAUCCUUGGCUCUAAUACAGUCGGGGGAUGACGGUACCGGAAGAAUAAGCACCGGCUAACCACGUGCCAGCAGCCGCGGUAAUACGUAGGGUGCAAGCGUUAAUCGGAAUUACUGGGCGUAAAGCGUGCGCAGGCGGUUUGCUAAGACCGAUGUGAAAUCCCCGGGCUCAACCUGGGAACUGCAUUGGUGACUGGCAGGCUAGAGUAUGGCAGAGGGGGGUAGAAUUCCACGUGUAGCAGUGAAAUGCGUAGAGAUGUGGAGGAAUACCGAUGGCGAAGGCAGCCCCCUGGGCCAAUACUGACGCUCAUGCACGAAAGCGUGGGGAGCAAACAGGAUUAGAUACCCUGGUAGUCCACGCCCUAAACGAUGUCAACUAGUUGUUGGGGAUUCAUUUCCUUAGUAACGUAGCUAACGCGUGAAGUUGACCGCCUGGGGGAGUACGGUCGCAAGAUUAAAACUUAAAUGAAUUGACGGGGUCAUAGCUGUUUCCU